UUAAUAUUGAACCAUCUGCUCACUGCCCUUACAAAUAUUACGAAUUUGAAUAAUAAAAGUACCUUUUUUCGUUUGUUUCUGAUGUCUUCGGAUGAAGCUGUAGCCCCUCUGAGAGGAGAAGCCAUGUUGGCAUGCCUCUCAGCCAAUCAGAGCGGAAGAGGGAGGGAGGGAGAGGCAUGGGCAUCGAUCUGCUAGCAUUUAAAAAAAAAUGUUGCUUCAAAAAUCCCCAAAAAUCAGUGGAUGGGUCAAACAUUAUGAAACUUGAUAGGCAAAGAGUACUUAAUUUUUGCUUCUAUUCUGGCAAAUUUCAUCAUAAUAGCUUUCAUAAUGCAGGAGAACGAAGCCUCUGAAUAUUGACCAUUCUUUUAAGUGGAAAUGAAGCAAUUCGCCAUAACGAGAGAAAAAACUCCAUUUCCCAGAAGCCUUAGCAAGCCAAUCAAAGUGGAAGGAAGAAGGACAGGGAGGCGUGGCUAUCGAUCUGCUAACAUUUUAAAAUAAUGUUGCUUCAGAAAUCCCCAAAAAUCAGUGGAUGGGUCAAACAUUAUGAAACUUGAUAGGCUAAGAGUACUUAAUUUUUGCUUCCAUUCUGGCAAAUUUCAUCAUAAUAGCUUUCAUAAUGCAGGAGAACGAAGCCUCUGAAUAUUGACCAUUCUUUUAAGUGGAAAUGAAGCAAUUCGCCAUAACGAGAGAAAAAACUCCAUUUCCCAGAAGCCUUAGCAAGCCAAUCAAAGUGGAAGGAAGAAGGACAGGGAGGCGUGGCCAUCGAUCUGCUAACAUUUAAAAAAAAUGUUGCUUCAGAAAUCCCCAAAAAUCAGUGGAUGGGUCAAACAUUAUGAAACUUGAUAGGCUAAGAGUACUUAAUUUUUGCUUCCAUUCUGGCAAAUUUCAUCAUAAUAGCUUUCAAAAUGCAGGAGAACGAAGCCUCUGAAUAUUGACCAUUUAUAAAAGCAUUGGGCUGAAGCAAACGUUUCUCCAAUAGUACUAUGCCCACUUGCAAACUACAAUUCCCAGGUGUUCCAAGCCCUCUCUCCUCUUAACGUUCCCCACCCCCUUUUGUCCUCACUUAGAAUCAUAGCGUCAUUGAACAGUAGAGUUGGAAGAGACCUCGUGGGCCAUCCAGCCCAACCCCUUCUGCCAGGCAGGAAGACACCAUCCAAUCCCUCCCAACAGAUGGCCAUCCAGCCUCUGCUUAAAAGCCUCCAAAGAAGAAACCUCCACUACAGCCUGGGGAGAGAGUUCCACAGCUGAACAGCUCACAGUGAGGAAGUUCUUCCUAAUGUUCAGGUGAAAUCUCCUUUCCUGUAGUUUAAAGCCAUUGUUCAGUGUCCUAGUCUGCAGGGCAGCAGAAAACAAGCUUGCUCCCUCCUCUCUAUGACUUCCCCUCACAUAUUAUACAUCAUGUCUCCUCUCAGCCUUCUUUUCUGCAGGCUAAACAUGCCCAGUUCUUCAAGCCACUCCUCAUAGGGCUUGUUCUCCAGACCCUAGAUCAUUUUAGUUGCCCUCCUCUGACCAUCUUGACCAAACUUUCAUACAGUAUGUGAAUUCUUGGAAGGUAUGAGAAGUUUAGAGAGAAGGAGGGAGGAAGAGGUUUGAAUUUUGGACUCCAAUUGUGGCAUGAUUCCCCACUCUGCCACCCACUUGGGCAAGUCACACACUCUCAGCCCAGAAAAGCCAAUGAAACAGGAAAUAGCACUUUCAAACCAGGAACUAAUUUCCUUAUUCAGAGGCUGAUGGCCAUCUGUCAGGAAGGAUUUGAUGGUGUACUAUGAUUUCUGUUCCUGGGUGAUAAAUGUCAUUUCCUAAUUGGUUCUGUCAUAGAAACAUGGCAAAAUCUAUGACACUGCCUGAACUUUGUGCAAGCGACAUGGAUGGAACAUAUUAUGGUUUGGUCCACCAAUUUAACAAAGUUUCAGCCACAAAAACAAAGUUUCUGAAGUAGAACAAUGACUUUCACAGUAAUGACAACCCAAUGAAACAGGAAAUAAGACUUUCAAACCAGGAACAGAUUUCUGCAAUUAUUAAAAAAUGGUUUAUUAUAAAAGCUAUGAAAAUUCGCCAAAAAUCAGAGGAUAAGGGAAACGUUCCAAAUUUUGGUGAGCUAUCAGUGUUAAAUGUGUUCUACCACUGUACCAUGUUUGAAGAAGAUCACUCAAAAAAUGAGGGCGGGAGAGUCCUGUAAAAUCUCCCCUCGUGCUGUUUUUUUUUUUGGCCACUGCGCAUGCCAAAACGAAUUAAUUUAGAAAAUAACGAAUUUUCGUUAAUUUCGAAUUUUUUGGGGGGCAAAAUUCGGAAAUGACAUGAGAAACGAAACGCUGGCGCCCCCUACUUUUGAAAUGAGUUUAGAAUCAAUUUUUUCAUGGAUCGCUCAAGCCUAGUAAUUACGACAUAACAUUACUGUGUAUUGAACUUCUUUUUCUGUCAAAUUUGUUGUCUAACAUGAUGUUUUGGUGCUUAAUUUGUAAAAUCAUAACCUAAUUUGAUGUUUAAUAGGCUUUUCCUUAAUGCCUCCUUAUUAUCCAACAUAUUUGCUUAUCCAACAUUCUGCUGGCCCGUUUAUGUUGGAUAAGUGAUACUCUACUGUACUUCUGAAUUGCUGGAGUACCGUGAUGCAUUCGGGUUUGCUACACUUUUUUUUAGCUACAGGAAAACUACCAGAUAUGCCAUCAUUCACUUUUUCCCCUGAUCUCCAGCAAUUGAGAAGUGGCCAUGUUGGGGAGAAAGGAUUGAGCAUUUUUUUUGAGAGACAACAAACCAUAGAAAUGAAUUGCACAAGGUAGACUUAUGGUAUUUUAAUUAAUGAACAGAGGUCCUGCUUGUAUUUUCAUUAUCUGUUUGGUCUAUGUGCCUAUAUUCUUUUUAUCACAUUGGUAAAUAGGGUUGCAAGUUUAGAUUCAGACCAAGCCCUGAGAUCAAAACUGAAGUUCUCUAUUGAUAUCAUUAAGUAUUACGCAUUAAUUAUAGAGGGAAACAGCUUGACAUUCCAACAUACGUGAACAGCCACCCAUCCACACACCCACAACAUUUUUGCCUGUUAGGAAAUUUAGACCGAAAUCUUAUUUACAGGGAGUGUUUCCAUAUCAGGGUGAAACAGGGAGCAUUUUUAUUCUCACUGCCUUAAGGUUCAGGAACAUUUAAUCUGGCCUGAUUGCUCCUAGCUAAGAGGUAAAUGAAGAACAAAGUUGAGGGUGAGCAUUGGCACUACAAAAACUGGAAAACUAACUAACUACAGAGACCCACCCCGCCUGGACAGUAUUUCCAAGAUGCAACAAUCAAUCCGUUAAUAAUUGGGAAUUAUAGCAAUCUUUUGUUCUCCUGAGUUGGAGAUUUCCAUGUUUUCCUUUUGAAUAUGAAAAUUUGCAUCCUUGUUUCCAACUUGGAGAUGACCGACAAAGACUGGAUUCCCUUGGCCAGGCCUUUGGAUUGGCAACUCUAUUGAUAAAGCCUAUAAGGAAAUAGAAGAUGUUUUGUGCUCCUCUUCCUUCAGCUAUCAAGAUUUAAAGAAGCUCCCUUAUACAAAUGCUGUGCUUCAUGAGAUUCAGCGUUCAAAGUAUACUCUCAUAACUGGGAUUCCAAGACAAACUGCCAAAGAUGUGAAGAUGAGAGGUUUUCUCAUCCCUAAGGGGACAAUCAUUGUACCAAAUCUACGCUCUGUUCCUCUUGAUCCUGAGCACUGGGAGUCUCCUAAAGAGUUCAAUCCAAAACAUUUUUUGGACCAGGAUGGACAUUUUGUUGCUAGAGAAGCGUAUCUGGCAUUUGGUGCAGGGGCUCGGGUGUGUUUGGGGGAGCAGCUGGCAAGGAUGGAGUUCUUCAUCUUCUUGGUCAGUCUGCUGAGGGCCUUCCAUUUCCAGCUGCCUCCAGGAGUCAAUGAAGAACUCAAUGAAGAACCUGUAGUAGGAGUGUCAACACCACCUCAUCCUUAUAAAGUGUGUGCAGUUCCUCGCUGUAGUUCAUCAUAAAGCAUACAAAAAUAAUUACAAUGGCAUAAACUUUAUUGCUGCAAUUUUAAAUAAAAUCCAGACUUCA